UACGAACUGUGCGAACGUUAUUCGGAAUCACUGGGCUUACAGGGUGCGUAGGCGGCUUGUUAAGUAGGGUGUGAAAGCCCCCGGCUCAACCGGGGAAUUGCGCCCUAAACUGGCGAGCUGGAGUGAGAUAGGGGUGUGUGGAACUUCCGGUGGAGCGGUGAAAUGUGUUGAUAUCGGAAGGAACGCCGGUGGCGAAAGCGACACACUGGAUCUUGUCUGACGCUGAGGAGCGAAAGCCAGGGGAGCAAACGGG
rnacentral:rRNA from 1 species